rnacentral:rRNA from 1 species
UAACACGUAUCCAACCUGCCGUCUACUCUUGGACAGCCUUCUGAAAGGAAGAUUAAUACAAGAUGGCAUCAUGGGUUCACAUGUUCACAUGAUUAAAGGUAUUCCGGUAGACGAUGGGGAUGCGUUCCAUUAGAUAGUAGGCGGGGUAACGGCCCACCUAGUCUUCGAUGGAUAGGGGUUCUGAGAGGAAGGUCCCCCACAUCGGAACUGAGACACGGUCCAAACUCCUACGGGAGGCAGCAGUGAGGAAUAUUGGUCAAUGGGCGAGAGCCUGAACCAGCCAAGUAGCGUGAAGGAUGACUGCCCUAUGGGUUGUAAACUUCUUUUAUAAAGGAAUAAAGUCGGGUAUGCAUACCCGUUUGCAUGUACUUUAUGAAUAAGGAUCGGCUAACUCCGUGCCAGCAGCCGCGGUAAUACGGAGGAUCCGAGCGUUAUCCGGAUUUAUUGGGUUUAAAGGGAGCGUAGAUGGAUGUUUAAGUCAGUUGUGAAAGUUUGCGGCUCAACCGUAAAAUUGCAGUUGAUACUGGAUAUCUUGAGUGCAGUUGAGGCAGGCGGAAUUCGUGGUGUAGCGGUGAAAUGCUUAGAUAUCACGAAGAACUCCGAUUGCGAAGGCAGCCUGCUAAGCUGCAACUGACAUUGAGGCUCGAAAGUGUGGGUAUCAAACAGGAUUAGAUACCCUGGUAGUCCACACGGUAAACGAUGAAUACUCGCUGU